GAUGAAGAACGUAGCGAAAUGCGAUAAGUAGUGUGAAUUGCAGAAUUCAGUGAAUCAUCGAAUCUUUGAACGCUCAUUGCGCCCCUCGGUAUUCCGUGGGGCAUGCCUGUUCGAGCGUCAUUUAACCCCUCAAGCCUAGCUUGGUAUUGGGUGCUUGUCCCGCCUCUCGCGCGGCGACUCACCUCAAAGUCAUUGGCAGCCCGCAUCUCGCCGGCCGUGAGCGCAGCACAGACGCGCUCUUGGCAACGACGGAUCGGCUCUCCAAAAGCUUAUUUCAACCACUGACCUCGGAUCAGGUAGGGAUACCCGCUGAACUUAAGCAUAUCAAUAAGCGGAGGA
rnacentral:misc_RNA from 1 species